AUGCCAGAUUAUAUUCAGUUGAGAGAGAUGACAACGAGGUGCAUGCAAGUAAUGAUAGAUAUAGGCAGUGGUGGGUGGCGGAAUGGCAAGGCGUCCAAUCAGAUGUCCUGGGUCCGUGAGGAGUUGGUGGCUCUCAACUACAACAAUAUCAUCAUGGCAAUCUAUAUUGAUUUCAACGAGAAUGCAGAAUCGGCUCUAAGGGAGCAAGGGUGUUCGGCGCCUAGAGGAGUGUUCAGGUUCAAGGAUCUGGCCCUCGCCGUUGAGACCAACGGGGUCGUCGCCGAGUACAUCUGGUAUGUACACAUGAACCUCCCUCGACUACAAUGUCGCUGA
rnacentral:rRNA from 1 species